CAAUCGUUAAUUUAACAUGCAGUAAGCGUCACAUCACAGAGUAAUAUCUGCCUGUGUAACCCUGAUAACAGGGUCUCCACCCGUAAUUGUACAUGUAAUUGGUUACAUGUGCCCGUAAUUCACCUCCAGCACCGCGUAAAAUCCACCCGUAAUCACUGGGUCUCCACCCGUAAUUGUACGUGUAAUUGGUUACAUGUGCCCGUAAUUCACCUCCAGCACCGCGUAAAAUCCACCCGUAAUCACUGGGUCUUCACCCGUAAUUUCGCGUGUAAUUGGUUACAUGCGCCUGUAAUUCACCUCCAACACCGCGUAAAAUCCACCCGUAAUCACUGGGUCUUCACCCGUAAUUUCGCGUGUAAUUGGUUACAUGCGCCCGUAAUUCACCUCCAACACCGCGUAAAAUCCACCCGUAAUCACUGGGUCUUCACCCGUAAUUUCGCGUGUAAUUGGUUACAUGCGCCCGUAAUUCACCUCCAGCACCGCGUAAAAUCCACCCGUAAUCACUGGGUCUUCACCCGUAAUUUUGCGUGUAAUUGGUUACAUGCGCCCGUAAUUCACCUCCAGCACCGCGUAAAAUCCACCCGUAAUCACUGGGUCUUCACCCGUAAUUUUGCGUGUAAUUGGUUACAUGCGCCCGUAAUUAACCUCCAGCACCGCGUAAAAUCCACCCGUAAUCACUGGGUCUUCACCCGUAAAUGUUCACCUGUAUCCUUGUGCUCAAAUUACGGGACCCGUAACGUGUUACGGACCCGUAAUUUCUGUCAAAUUACGGGUGGAUUGACCCAAAAUUACGGGUAAAAUGACCCCCCUUUUCCCAGAGUGCGAGUGAACUGGUCCAUCCUGCACCACAAGCGCCAUUGUGGGUCUAACUCCUAUGCUUACGUAUCAUGCCUGUGCACUGAAGGCCUGCAUGUAACUCUGGCAAGCAUGCUACACCCUGACAUGAGCAU
rnacentral:lncRNA from 1 species